UUCGGCUGAAUAAAUGUGAGGAACUAAUUCGCUUUAUACAACAAUUCAUGAAUAGGGCAGCAACCCACCUAGCAGCUAGCAGAGCGCUGUCAGGGGUUGUAUAAAAUGGAAGGUUUCUAUAGGCUGGCGAGUCGGGCAAGGGAGCCAUUAGCAUAAUAAAAGAAAGGAUUGAAGCUAUACCCCAAUAGAAAAGUAUUAACAGUAAAGUUUAAAACUACAUUAAAAACAAUACUUCUGUCCCAGGCCUCCCCAACUCAGCUCUUCUUUUUAAAAAAAAAAAAAAACAAAACAACCUGCUGCCAAACCAAGCCUGUUCCACAACAGCCAAGGAGCAGAUUGCAGAUGAAAUGGAAGCUGAGGCAGGGGCAAUGGAUGUAGGUUAGUGUUCUUAAUCCUGGGAGCAGAAGGCAAGAAAAAAUUCUUGAAGAAAGUAGAAAAGUUUAGGAGCUCCAGAAAAAAAAAUGCAGCCCCUCCCUAGUAAUCAGAGAAAGGCAAAUAACAUUUCCCCCCUCUGGGAUAGGCGAAAAGAUGGACAGGGCAAAAUGUGCAAGAGGAGGGAGCAGAGGACUAGCCCACAUCUGCCGCGCUUUUGUUGGGAGUGGAAAUUGAGGACCAGAGAUCACUGAUGACGUAGACCUCAUGUGACCAGGAGUCGACGUGUGCAGAAGUCCUGCUAGUCUGGUCCUUGUUCCCUUCUGGGUACCAGCUUCCUUCAGCAGCGGUAGCCGGUGGGGCCAACGGUGGGGAAGGAGAAGGAGUCUACUGGCUGAAAUUUUUCAGGUCUGCUACUCUGAAAAGGCCAGGAAGAAAAGUGAUCGGAUCCGUACAGGAAGAUGAAGGAAAUAUUAUAAAGACCCCUGGGGUGGAGGUGAGCAAAGGAGGGACUGAGGUCAUGGGCCCCUAUGUUCUUCCCCCGCACCCCUCUUCUCCCAGCUUACUCUGUUCUAGGAGGGUCUUGCGUUCUGCCUUGUGUGAGAGAAAUGGUUGAGAAGAACCUUGGAAAAGGCUGGAGGGAGGGACGAGGGAGGUGAGGAGGUGGAAAAUGGAGGUGAGAACGACAGGCUCAGGGGAAACCCUGAUGGCUGACGUAUCCUUCUUGCUUCCUAGAAGUAGUUGUUUUCAAAGAAAAAUAAGUAGAAGAAAAGAAAGGAAGAGG
rnacentral:lncRNA from 1 species